UACGUAGGGUGCGAGCGUUGUCCGGAAUUACUGGGCGUAAAGAGCUCGUAGGUGGUUUGUCGCGUUGUUCGUGAAAACCUGAGGCUUAACCUUGGGCGUGCGGGCGAUACGGGCAGACUGGAGUACUGCAGGGGAGACUGGAAUUCCUGGUGUAGCGGUGGAAUGCGCAGGUAUCAGGAGGAACACCGGUGGCGAAGGCGGGUCUCUGGGCAGUAACUGACGCUGAGGAGCGAAAGCGUGGGGAGCGAACAGG
rnacentral:rRNA from 1 species